rnacentral:lncRNA from 1 species
UCAUCUUAAAAUAUGGUACCAUGUCUGUAAUUUUUUACAAAUGGCUGAGCUUGUUAUUUAUGUUAGGAUGUUCGUUGUUAGGAUUUUGUGGAUUAGACAUCAAUCCAUAUCCAAUCCACGAUUUUACGCAUUAUAAAUUUUUAAUUCAAUCCAAUCUACGAAAUCCACGAAUUGUUGAAAUUCAAUCCAAAUCCAAUCCAUACAUUUACUUGGUUUGUUCUUUUUUACAUGUGGCGCAAAUUGCAUGGUGGUCUUGGAUACCUUAGUUUGAGACUGUCUGGAGGACCACUGUCCUUAGAGCAUGUUUGGUUGGCAGGAGAGGAGCUGAAUUUAAAAUCCUUAGUAAUUUCUUUUGUUUGGUUGGAAUAAACUUACCAGGAAUUAAUCUCCAUAUAAAUUUAAUUUCUGCUAUAGUUAGGAAUUUAGUUUCUUCUAUGAGGGGAUGAGAAUUCUAAUUCCAUAACUUGAAAAAUAUUCAAAUUGCCAUUUGUAACCAUACUAUUUUUUUAAAUUUCCAAUUUUACCCUUUCUUAAAUUUAAAAUAUGAAACCCUAAAAUAUUUUCUGUCUUACGCUUUCUCUCUAACCAACAGCCCCCUCUCCAAUUUUUAUCCAUUUGCACAGCCGCUGCUACCGAUUCAUAGCUAUUACCGUCGAUUCAUCUGAAAGUAAGAAGAACAAGAUAAAAACAAUGGUAAAUCUUAUGAUUUCAUAUAUUUAUUUAGUUGUUGAUACGUUGAUUUUUUUCAUUUGUUUUGGUUGUUGAGAAAAUUGUGGCUGAAUAAUUUUUAUUCUGUCUGUUUGUUGAAACUAGACUUGAUUAAUUUCCUUGAUUAAUUAAUUAUGGCUGAGUUUAUUAAAAUAGCCUUGAUUCGUUUGUUUGUUGAGUUUAUGAUUCUAUUUGGUUGCUGAGAAAAUGUUGGCUAAGUUAUUGUUGUUUCGUUUGUUUAUUGAACUAGCUUUGAUUAAUUUAUUAUGGCUAGGUUUAUUGGAGUAGCCUUAAUUCGUUUGUUUGUUGAGUGUAUGAUAAUGGGAAUUAGUAUUGCUGAUGUUCAUCUUUGAGUUUGUUGAGUUUGGCAAGUGCAUAAUUAUUUCAAUUAGGUAAUGUUUUAGAGAAUUUGAUGUGCUUUGUUGUGUAACAAGUUCUAGUUUUCAUUGUGCCAAUCAUAAACAAAUCUAUGGCUUUCGGGUAACAAGUUCCAGGCUUCUUCCAUCGCAUUCUUUCAAAUUCUCUCAUUUUGCAUUUAUGAAAUUAUAUAAACUUAUCUCUCUGAGCUUCCCAUCUUCAAUUUUUCUUCUAAUGCAUCAUUAUUAUGCUUGAUGUGGCAAUUAUCUCUAUAACUUAAUCAUACUUACUUUUGAUUUUAAAAUUUAUAAUGUUGAGUGUGGACCUCCUUCAUUGGCAAUUAUUGUAAGCAUGUGAUUUAAGCAUUUGCAUUUCUAAAAUUAUAUAAACUUGUCUCUUUCAGCUUCCCAUCUUCAAUUUUUCUUCAUUAGGAGGGAGAUGCCAUAUGAUCCUUUUGAGGAAGCAUUUGAUACUGUAAAUGAGGUGGAAUCACUUGGAGGUAGCAUGAUAACUAGUAUAGAAACGUCAAAAGAGUGGAAUACAUGGAGAACAAUUUUAGCACAAGAGAUGUAUCAUCAAUGGAGAGCAAGUAGACAGAGCACAUGAAAAAUCCUUAAAAAAAUUGUUAUAUUUUGUUAUUCCAUUUGUUGGAUUGUAGAUGUAAUAUUUGUUUCUGACUUUGGAGAUUUUGUAUUUUGGUACAUCUCUCUUAAUGAUUAAAUGUGAUAAUGUGAUAUCAAUGCUUUAUUUUAUUUUAUCACGCUGUCCACAGCUUUGUUUUAGGUUUGCCUUAAUUGAGAUUUAGUGUUCUUUACUGUUAAUUUUUUAGGUUAUAUAAUGUGCAUUACAGCAAGAUUACUAGUGUUGUUCAG